UCCUCAUAUAUAUCUUAUUCACAGCUGGUAGGGAAUUGGCUGUAGUUCCCAUUAGUGAUUUAUAGAAAUCCCUAAUCUCCUUUUUCAACUCUGCAGGAUCAGUUAUCUUCAGUCCUCCUUCUGUGGAGAGUUCAAUAAUCUUCUUAUAUUGACUCCUCUCCUUCAUGAAUGCUGAGAAAUACUUAUUAUUGGAGUCAUCAAGUUUGAUCCAUUUGGAUCUGGACUUUUGCUGCAAAGCUGAC
rnacentral:lncRNA from 1 species